rnacentral:rRNA from 1 species
UGGGGAAUAUUGCACAAUGGGCGAAAGCCUGAUGCAGCAACGCCGCGUGAGUGAUGAAGGCCUUCGGGUUGUAAAGCUCUGUCUUUUGGGACGAUAAUGACGGUACCAAAGGAGGAAGCCACGGCUAACUACGUGCCAGCAGCCGCGGUAAUACGUAGGUGGCAAGCGUUGUCCGGAUUUACUGGGCGUAAAGGAUGCGUAGGCGGAUUUUUAAGUGAGAUGUGAAAUACCCGGGCUUAACUUGGGUGCUGCAUUUCAAACUGGGAAUCUAGAGUGCGGGAGAGGAGAAUGGAAUUCCUAGUGUAGCGGUGAAAUGCGUAGAGAUUAGGAAGAACACCAGUGGCGAAGGCGAUUCUCUGGACCGUAACUGACGCUGAGGCAUGAAAGCGUGGGUAGCAAACAGGAUUAGAUACCCUGGUAGUCCACGCCGUAAACGAUGAGUACUAGGUGUAGGAGGUAUCGACCCCUCUGUGCCGCAGUUAACACAAUCAAGUACUCCGCCUGGGAAGUACGAUCGCAAGAUUAAAAA